GACGAACGCUGGCGGCGUGCUUAACACAUGCAAGUCGAACGGAAAGGCCCGGCUUUUGUGGGGUGCUCGAGUGGCGAACGGGUGAGUAACACGUGAGUAACCUGCCCUUGACUUUGGGAUAACUUCAGGAAACUGGGGCUAAUACCGGAUAGGAGCUCCUGCUGCAUGGUGGGGGUUGGAAAGUUUCGGCGGUUGGGGAUGGACUCGCGGCUUAUCAGCUUGUUGGUGGGGUAGUGGCUUACCAAGGCUUUGACGGGUAGCCGGCCUGAGAGGGUGACCGGCCACACUGGGACUGAGAUACGGCCCAGACUCCUACGGGAGGCAGCGGUGGGGAAUAGUGCACAAUGGGCGGGAGCCUGAUGCAGCAACGCCGCGUGCGGGAUGACGGCCUUCGGGUUGUAAACCGCUUUCGCCUGUGACGAAGCGUGAGUGACGGUAAUGGGUAAAGAAGCACCGGCUAACUACGUG
rnacentral:rRNA from 1 species